AUCUCGUUCAUGAACUCAACACAAGAGUUAUUUCCUUACUUAGCGAGUGGAUAUCACCAGUAAUUAUUACUGAGGAAGAUUACAUUUGUGAACCAUGUAAAGAACUCCUCAUGAGAA